GGGAAGGGUCUCUUUUUGGAGACAGCUCCUUACUAAAGCUUUCCCCUGUGAACCUGGAAUCUUCUGAUACAGCCUUAAGUGAGGUGACUGACUUGAGAGGAUGACUGGCUGAAAAACCAUCAGAAAUUAAACCUCAGCAGGCAUCAAGAGUACAGCCAGUGUGAAACAAGAAGCUACAGUCACAGAUUGGCAUGUCUUCAGGAAGUGGUUUGCUGCACCUGAGUAGAGCAAAGUGUUCAUGUGAUGGUCCAAGGAGAGAGCUCUCAGGAAGCAUGGAGGUGAGCAGUCACAAAGCCUGCACAGAUGCUGUGCCUCAAGAAGUGGUGGGGUAGGAUGCAGCUACAGGACAGCACAGAAUACCAACCCAGAAGUGAUGGGAGAUCCUCAGACUAGAAAAGUCACCCUCUACCCUGCUUUAACCCAGCGUGAAUUUUAGGCAGUCUGUUGACCAUCGCUUUUCUGAAGUGGAAGAUUCACUGUAGCAGGCAGUUCUGAUGAUCUUUCAAAAUUGUCCUGGUUUAGCUAGUCAUAAAAUGCUGCACACAGUGGUAAUUUCAGUAGGCUUGUCCUGUUACAGCUUGUGAUACCGAGGUCACAAAACACAAGCGCCGUACCCUGAAAUCACCAUGUCCUUUGCUGUACCUGCAUUAUGCCUGGCACAUUCAGUAAACCAAGUAUGAGAAGUAUGAGGAGUAUGUUCAUCUGGUGAUAAUCGAAUCGAGAAGAGUGUGCUGUUAUAUUUGAGUAUGUUACUGCAGUUAUUAAAUAGC